rnacentral:rRNA from 1 species
AGUCGAACGAGAAUCUGUGGAUCGAGGAUUCGUCCAAGUGAAGCAGAGGACAGUGGCGGACGGGUGAGUAACGCGUGAGGAACCUGCCUUUCAGAGGGGGACAACAGUUGGAAACGACUGCUAAUACCGCAUGAUACAUUUGGGUGGCAUCAUCUGAAUGUCAAAGAUUUAUCGCUGAAAGAUGGCCUCGCGUCUGAUUAGCUGGUUGGUGAGGUAACGGCCCACCAAGGCGACGAUCAGUAGCCGGACUGAGAGGUUGACCGGCCACAUUGGGACUGAGAUACGGCCCAGACUCCUACGGGAGGCAGCAGUGGGGAAUAUUGGGCAAUGGGCGCAAGCCUGACCCAGCAACGCCGCGUGAAGGAAGAAGGCUUUCGGGUUGUAAACUUCUUUUAAGAGGGAAGAGCAGAAGACUGUACCUCUAGAAUAAGCCACGGCUAACUACGUGCCAGCAGCCGCGGUAAUACGUAGGUGGCAAGCGUUGUCCGGAUUUACUGGGUGUAAAGGGCGUGCAGCCGGGAAUGCAAGUCAGAUGUGAAAUCCAUGGGCUUAACCCAUGAACUGCAUUUGAAACUGUAUUUCUUGAGUACUGGAGAGGCAAUCGGAAUUCCUAGUGUAGCGGUGAAAUGCGUAGAUAUUAGGAGGAACACCAGUGGCGAAGGCGGAUUGCUGGACAGCAACUGACGGUGAGGCGCGAAAGUGUGGGGAGCAAACAGGAUUAGAUACCCUGGUAGUCCACACUGUAAACGAUGAAUACUAGGUGUGCGGGGACUGACCUCCUGCGUGCCGCAGUUAACACAAUAAGUAUUCCACCUGGGGAGUACGAUCGCAAGGUUGAAACUCAAAGGAAUUGACGGGGG